rnacentral:rRNA from 1 species
GACGAACGCUGGCGGCGUGCUUAACACAUGCAAGUCACGGGGGCCCGCAAGGGUAACCGGCGAACGGGUGCGUAACACGUGAGCAAGCUUCCGAUUAGUGGGGGAUAGCCGGCCUAACGGCCGGGUAAUACCGCAUACGAUCACCGGGCGGCAUCGUCUGGUGAGGAAACCUCCGGGGCUAAUCGAGGCGCUCGCGGCCUAUCAGCUCGUUGGCGGGGUAAUGGCCCACCAAGGCGAUGACGGGUAGCUGGUCUGAGAGGAUGGCCAGCCACAUUGGGACUGAGACACGGCCCAGACUCCUACGGGAGGCAGCAGUGGGGAAUAUUGCGCAAUGGACGAAAGUCUGACGCAGCGACGCCGCGUGUGGGAUGAAGCCUUUCGGGGCGUAAACCACUGUUGCCCGGGACGAAUCUCCCCUUUCGAGGGGAUUGACGGUACCGGGUGAGGAAGCACCGGCUAACUCUGUGCCAGCCGCCGCAGUAAGAC